AGUGAACGCUGGCGGCAGGCCUAACACAUGCAAGUCGAGCGGCAGCGGGUUCCCGCGAGGGGAUGCCGGCGAGCGGCGGACGGGUGAGGAACACAUCGGAAUCUGCCUGGUUGUGGGGGAUAACGUAGGGAAACUUACGCCAAUACCGCAUGAGACCCUGAGUCGACGGACUGGGGGUGAAAGUGAGGGACCUUCGGGCCUCACGCGACCAGAUGAGCCGAUGUCGGAUUAGCUAGUUGGCGGGGUAACGGCCCGCCAAGGCGACGAUCCGUAGCUGGUCUGAGAGGAUGAUCAGCCACACUGGGACUGAGACACGGCCCAGACUCCUACGGGAGGCAGCAGUGGGGAAUCUUGGACAAUGGGCGCAAGCCUGA
rnacentral:rRNA from 1 species